CGUGCUGCUGAAGGCCGUGGGCGACACCCCCAUCAUGAGGACCAAGAAGUGGGCCGUGGAGCGCACCCGCACCAUCCAGGGGCUCGUCGACUUCAUCAAGAAGUUCCUCAAGCUGAUGGCCUCCGAGCAGCUGAUAUAAAAUAAAAGCUAGACUCAUUACAAUACUGAAAUCUGCAACUGAAGUAUCAGAUAAGUUUAUAUACGUAAACCAGUCUUUUGCUCCAUCUCCAGACCAGGAAGUUGGAACCCUCUAUGAGUGUUUUGGAAGUGAUGGCAAGCUGGUGCUGCAUUAUUGCAAAACCCAGGCAUGGGGGUGAAAGACAAGCAAUACAGUUGCAUAGGUGUCAUCUUCAAAAAUGGAAGAGGAACUAACUUUCUUAAACACACCUGUAAAUGCACAGAAAAAAAGGGGGUUUGGAUUUAUGCUUGUGACUGUAUACUUAUAAAAAUGGCAGCAGUUGAAUAGCAUGAAAGAAGAGCUACCAAGGUUAUCCAAUCUUGUAGCGUUUUUCCAAUGUACAUUUUGGGUACAGAAAAAAAAUCUGCAUCUGCUGUCUGUAGAACAGAGCCAGCUCUCCUGCUUCUGAGUUCCCAAUUGCUGUAUACGAAGGGAAGCUUUUUCAAAGUUGUCUUCAGGACUGGGCAGCACUGUCGCUGUAUAUGGUGUGUGGAAGAUAAGGUUUCCUUUUAAUUAAAAAAGGAUGUGAAUUGCA